AAUUCGCCCUUAGAGUUUGAUCAUGGCUCAGAUUGAACGCUGGCGGCAUGCCUUACACAUGCAAGUCGAACGGCAGCAUAGGAGCUUGCUCCUGAUGGCGAGUGGCGAACGGGUGAGUAAUAUAUCGGAACGUGCCCUAGAGUGGGGGAUAACUAGUCGAAAGACUAGCUAAUACCGCAUACGAUCUACGGAUGAAAGUGGGGGAUCGCAAGACCUCAUGCUCCUGGAGCGGCCGAUAUCUGAUUAGCUAGUUGGUGGGGUAAAAGCCUACCAAGGCAACGAUCAGUAGCUGGUCUGAGAGGACGACCAGCCACACUGGGACUGAGACACGGCCCAGACUCCUACGGGAGGCAGCAGUGGGGAAUUUUGGACAAUGGGGGCAACCCUGAUCCAGCAAUGCCGCGUGAGUGAAGAAGGCCUUCGGGUUGUAAAGCUCUUUUGUCAGGGAAGAAACGGUAGUAGCGAAUAACUAUUACUAAUGACGGUACCU
rnacentral:rRNA from 1 species